rnacentral:snoRNA from 1 species
GCGGUCUGUGAUGAUACUAUGUUGAUGGUUCGAGUCUCCCGACCUUGAGAACACCCGUUUUCAUGCACUACCAUCUGAGACUGU